rnacentral:sRNA from 1 species
ACUGUGCCAACAUGGCGGCGCCCAGAUCGUAAUUCGGAAAACGUGCACCCUGACUAAUUCGGUUUUCUGUGGCUACAAGAGCAGGCUUGGCGGGCGGAGGCGCCAGCGGAUGUCUCAUGCAAGGAUCGUCUCUGUGGCUAAGCCUCACUUUCCGCUCCGCCCGGGUGCUCUGUAGAGCCCGGUUUUUCGAGUGGCAGUCCCCAGGGCUGCCGAAUCCAGCAGCGAUGGAAAACGGCACCGGGCCCUACGGAGAAGAACGCCCACGUGAAGUCCAGGAGACGACAGUCACCGAGGGGGCUGCCAAAAUCGCCUUUCCCAGCGCCAACGAGGUCUUUUAUAACCCGGUGCAGGAAUUCAAUCGGGACCUGACGUGAGCAGGGGUCAGACGUUAGCCUGGCAUCGGCUGGUGGGAAGGCCUGCAUGUGCUGGAAGGCCUGGCAGCUUCGGGCCUACG